UACAGAGGUCCCAAGCGUUGUUCGGAUUCAUUGGGCGUAAAGGGUGCGUAGGUGGCGCUGUAAGUGGGGUGUGAAAUCCCGGGGCUUAACCCCGGGACUGCAUUCCAUACUGCAGUGCUUGAGGACUGGAGAGGAGACUGGAAUUUACGGUGUAGCAGUGAAAUGCGUAGAGAUCGUAAGGAAGACCAGUGGCGAAGGCGGGUCUCUGGGCCGAUACUGACGCUGAGGAGCGAAAGCGUGGGGAGCGAACAGG
rnacentral:rRNA from 1 species